UCUUAUACAGUAGCAUAUAUCACACCGAUGCCAUAUCCCAAAUAUGGUCUUAUACGGAAAUCACUUGUCACUUGUAGCCGAAGCUACCACUAUUCACUGAUCAGGUAGCCGGAGCUACCAUUUUUCACUGAUCAGGUAACCGGAGCUACCACUUUUCACUGAUCAGGUAGCAGAAGCUACCACUUUUCACUGAUCAGGUAGCCGAAGCUACCACUUUUCACUGAUCAGGUAGCAGAAGCUACCACUUUUCACUUGUCAUUUGUCCUUGAUCAGAUAAGUGUAGCCGAAGCUAUCACUUAUCACUUUCUCUUGUCUUUGAUCAGAUAAGUGUAGCCGAAGCUAUCACUUAUCACUUGUUGCCAUGGUCCAACCAUGGUCUUUUCCUUCAAUUAAUCUUGUCACUGAACUGAAAUGCUCAAUUUGAUCAUUUAUUCAAUUUUCAUGCUUUUACAUUAUUCACGAUUUUAUCAUCAAUACAUAUGAAAUAACAC
rnacentral:lncRNA from 1 species